rnacentral:snRNA from 1 species
AGCUUUGCACAGUGGCAGUAUCGUAGCCAGUGAGGUUUAUCUGAGGCACCGAUUAUUGCUAUUGUUUAAUUAUAAUUGAUGCA